rnacentral:lncRNA from 1 species
UUUUUUUUUCUAGGCCAAAUGAAUUCUUAUAGUAGAAGACGAGCCUCAAAGGAUGGCCAGGGGCCCCACUCACUACCAGGGCACGCCUGGGUGCCUCGUGGGCACCUGGUGGCCCCCUCUGGUAUUUCUUUUCUCCAGUAUCUUUCAUAUAUUCCAAAAUAAUUCUUCGUGAAAUUUCAGCUCAUUUAGAGUUGUGCAGAAUAGGUAUAUCUGAUGUAGCUUUUUGAGGUCCAGAAUUUCAGGUGCCGGCAAUCUCCCUCUUCAUAUAAAUCUUGCAAAUUAAGAGAGAAAAUUCAUUAGAAUUGUACCACAAAGUAUUAUAUUGAUAAAAAACAUCAUAAAUAACAAUAGGUAAACAUUAUGAAAAAUGGACGUAUAAACUCCCCCAAGCUUAGACCUCCAUUGGUCUCAAGCAAUAGCCGAUAUCGAUAAACAUGACCACAUGUUUAGAGAGAGAUGUGUCGCUAAAAACGAAAUGCAGACAUAGUAACAUCAUGAUCAAUAUCAUACCAGCAAUACAUUGUAUCAUAAAACUUCUCAUGAGAAAGUAACAAUUCAUCACAACAACGAAGCAUAAGGCAUAAACUUUCUGGAAGACUAACAAACUAUGUUCUAAUUAAGUCAAUAAUGCAAUUACUAUUCAUCAUAUUUUCAGGAAGGGUCUCAUGUAAGAGCUUUUGUUUUGCAAGUCCACAUAUUCAAACUAUCAUUUAGUCUUCUAUGGCUGCUGACACUCACGGCAUAUAUAUGGAGCAAAAGUUCCAGUCAGACACAUAGAAAGAUAGGGGCUUAUAGUUUCGCCUCCUAACUCAUUUACCUCAAGGUUAAUGUCAACAAUAAUAAAAAAUGACCAUGUACAUCUAACUGGACAUAUAUGCCUAUAUCUUUCCUCACCACAUGAUGCUUGCAAAAAAAGAAAAAGGAAUAGAGGAGAACACUAUUGACUCUUGCAUGAAGACUAAAUACAUAAGAUGUAAAAGAUUGGCCCGUCGCGGAGGGAAACAAAGGUUGUCAUGCGCUUUUUGGGUUUUGGAUGUGCAAGCUUCUAAUGUAAAGGAACGUCACUUUAUAUUGCCCCUUGUGAUAGCAAACAUUAUUAUGUAGUCCGUCGCUUUUAUUUUUUUACCAUCACAAGAUCGUACAAAGCUUAUUUUCUCUUACAAUAAAAGAUCAUACAUAUUUAGAAACAAUUUUACUGCUUUAUGCACCGAUGACAACUUACUUGAAGGAUCUUACUCAAUCCAUAGGUAGAUAUAGUGGACUCCCAUGACAUGCAACUUGAGUUAAGGAUUUUGGAUGUACAAGUAGUAUCUCUACUUGGUACGGAUUUUUGGCUAGCAAACAUAUUGAGCAAACACCAGAUGUUGGAGCAUUUAUAACAAUAUAAUUUCUAUCUGAUUAUAAGCAAUCAUAACUCAUUACGUUGUCUUUCUUGUCCGACGUCAACAAUUUGUAAUGGAAUACUUAAUGAGGGCUCACAAUCGUAAAAGAUGUCCAAGAUAAUAUAUUUAUAACUGAAUCUUCUCUUCUUUUAUUAACUUCUUCAUGACUUGUAUCAUUAACCAAUACUAUGUUUGUUAACUUUUUAAAAAGUUUACCACUUAUACUUUUCUUUAUGUAAAGUCAUUACUUUUCAUGGGAUUAGCAUAUAUAUGAUAUUUUCAAUAUGUACCUCAAGGAUACAAUAAAACUGUGAUCCUAGUAGCCCCCGAGACUCUGAACAAUUUGCAAAACCAAACCGAGGAUCUAAUUCUCGCUUUGGAGCAUACUUUACGAAAGAACACGGUAAAGUAGCUAGUCUUCUCGAAAACGGUAUUGCGCUUUAAAUUUCCUGCAUUGAAUCGUCAAUGCAGUAGCCUCGAGACUGAGGUUGGGCAACAAGUCCGACCUGAGGAUCGCAUCUCCUUUGGCACAGUUCGCUGAGAACACGUAGCUAGCGAAUUUGACAUUUUGGGGCUGCUCAAGCAACCUGCUGCUGUUUAUCUUCAGUGAUAUAAUAAGAUAACAGGGUGCUCUUAAGGAAUUAAGGAUAUUGCCCAUCCUCAGUUCUUUCAUGCGACUCACGCUUUGUGGAAACCCUUGGCGCUCAUCAGUAACAAAAAGUUGUGCGGUUCCGAAAUCUGAAACUUUUGAAGCAGAUGAAUUAACGUGACUUGCAUGGAUUCGAGUGUCUCUAGAAGCCUCAGUUUUUCUGUCCCAUUUGGAAGGCUUGUAAUUAAAAGCGUUCCCAAGGCUCAGAUGUUUUAGAAGCAGAAGGUUGUCUAUUUUAUUUUAGAUGAUCAUCCAAGUGGGCACAUUCUUCAACAUCUAGAGAUUAGGAUUCUCAGCAUGUAGACACUUGCGGCCAUGCUAACAAGAGCAAAUGGUUGGCCUUCACUUCUCAUCAGAAUUUCCUUUUCUCCAUGUAAACUGAAGCUUUCUUCAAGAACAAUCGUUUCGAGUGCUGUUUCUUAGUUACCUGGUCUUCUUACUUUUUGCACAUAGCCCUUGCUAGAGUUGCAAGCGUUAAAUACUGACUGCAUAGUGGUAGUCACCAUUACUCUGCUACUUGCACCAAAAUUCAAAUUCCAUGAUACUCCAGUGAUCUGUUUCCAUAUCGUGUCGAUUACAAUGAAAUACCUGAAACAUAUAUCAGGAAAUGAUUAUUUUAAGCUAGGAUCAUGGGUUCAGUGAGCAGUCAAAAUUUAGCAUGUUGUAGCAGAAUUUGUGGGGAGGCGUGUAGAGUUAAUUAAACUUACCUCUUGUUAUGCAAGUGCUCUCUGAUAUCCGCAGCAAGCAAGUGUGACAUAGGAGCCAUCAGACACCAGCCUACCAAGUUGGUGCUCCCUUUCAUUUAUUUUACGAGAUUAUCCUUCGUUAAGAUGACCACUUUAUAGAGGAACCAAUCAAAAAAACUUGAGCAGAACUUUAGUUUUUCAAAUGUGUUUUCUACAAGAAGUCCAGCGUUAAUAAGACCCGCACACACUAAGAAAAGACAAGGAGUCAAUCAUGAUCGUAACGAGUCUGGUUCGUUAGUUAAGUUGAUCGACAUGAACCGACGUACUAAAUCAAACAAAGCGGUCCACUUAUCUAAACUAAGGCUCGCCGAAACUAGUCACUCAACGGACUUGUCACUGAUAGAUAUGGUAUUAGCAUCAACCUCCUUCCGUUGCACAAUAUCAUAACAGUUCAGGUAUUGUAAGGCCAAUGGCUCAUCUCCUAGUCAGGUAUCCUACCAGAAUCUCAUAAUACGACCAUCACCCACUCUAAAACCGCCUCUACUAAAAAAAUGCAGUCUAUACAUUCAUCAAGACCUUCCAAAAUGGUGAGUUCAAGAUCUGUGCCGUUGCUCAAGAUGAUGUCUUGGAGUGGAGGUAUUUAUUGUGUAGCAACUCUUGCCACACCCCCUCCUUCACUAAGUAACAUAUAUAGCCAUUUCCUAAGAAUAUCCCACCCCCUUGGUCUUUUGUCCUAGAAAGAAUAUCCCAGUUCUCCGAGCGAUAUUUCCUUCUAUAUUCAUUGCACUGCCGGAAGAAUUUGGAUUAGUAGUAAUCCAGUCUUUUGUGUGCCCCUUUUGAUACUUUAAAAAAUUAGAGCAUCAAUAUAUUUAGGCUGGUGAGCACAGAGUUGACUAGGAGCAGACAUCCUCCAUAGGUCAUAAGUUUUGUUUUUUCAAAGAACUGAGCUAUUUUUCAAACCAGUCUUACUGUUCACUAGUAGGGCAGAAGUGCGGCGUGAUGCCGCUCCCGUGGAAGUUCCCGCUGUUGGUAUUAUUUUUUCAACCACUUAAUACUGGUACAUGUCAUGAAUCACAAACACAUAAGACACCAAAAGCCUAAAAAAAUCAAGAUCUUUAUACAAAUCUUGAACAGUAAGACCAUUAUGAACGCUCGUCGGUGCUUUUGGUUCUUCUAGAUUCUGCAUACAAAUCUUGAACAGUUGGACAUCGGACAAUCGAUUUGACAGUACAAACUAUUAACAAGAAUACAAAAAUAUUCAGAUAAUUUCUUAUUGCUUAGUCAAAGCUAAACCCCAACUAUAGCAAGGUUCAGGGUACGGUGGCAGAGUUUAAAAUUCAAAUGCAAGGUAAACACAACACAACAAGAUACAAACCUAUCUCGGGUCCAAGGCUCAAGAGCCACAGAUGCACACGAUACAAACCCGAAGGGGGCCUUGGCUAAUAAGACGAAACACACACGCACAAACACUAAACCGAGAAAGACCACAAUAGCGACGACGAACAUCAGCCUCCAUCUCUAUGACGCUCCUCCUUGUGUCAAAUAAUGAAGGCAAAGUUGUCGAAUGAGAGGAGCAUCAAGGAUAUGACGAUGAAGAUCCCUUGGUCGGAGGCCUUGUGUUCGAUGAAGAUCC